rnacentral:rRNA from 1 species
AACGAACGCUGGCGGCAUGCCUAACACAUGCAAGUCGAACGAGACCUUCGGGUCUAGUGGCGCGCGGGUGCGUAACGCGUGGGAAUCUGCCCCUCGGUUCGGAAUAACACAGAGAAAUUUGUGCUAAUACCGGAUGAUGACUUCGGUCCAAAGAUUUAUCGCCGAGGGAUGAGCCCGCGUAGGAUUAGCUAGUUGGUGGGGUAAUGGCCCACCAAGGCGACGAUCCUUAGCUGGUCUGAGAGGAUGAUCAGCCACACUGGGACUGAGACACGGCCCAGACUCCUACGGGAGGCAGCAGUGGGGAAUAUUGGACAAUGGGCGAAAGCCUGAUCCAGCAAUGCCGCGUGAGUGAUGAAGGCCUUAGGGUUGUAAAGCUCUUUUACCAGGGAUGAUAAUGACAGUACCUGGAGAAUAAGCUCCGGCUAACUCCGUG